GACGAACGCUGGCGGCGUGCUUAACACAUGCAAGUCGAACGAUGAAGCUGGAGCUUGCUCCGGUGGAUUAGUGGCGAACGGGUGAGUAACACGUGAGAAAUCUGCCCUUGACUCUGGGAUAACUGCGGGAAACUGUAGCUAAUACCGGAUACUUUCCCUGGUGGGCAUCCACUGGGGAAGAAAGAAUUUCGGUCAAGGAUGAUCUCGCGGCCUAUCAGCUAGUGGUGAGGUAAUGGCUCACCAAGGCGACGACGGGUAGCCGGCCUGAGAGGGUGACCGGCCACACUGGAACUGAGACACGGUCCAGACUCCUACGGGAGGCAGCAGUGGGGAAUAUUGCACAAUGGGCGAAAGCCUGAUGCAGCAACGCCGCGUGAGGGAUGAAGGCC
rnacentral:rRNA from 1 species